GAACUUUUCAAUGAAAUGCUUCAAAGAGAUUUUGGUGUCCAUAUAAACAAAUCAUUACUGUCUCUUCCUGAGAAAGAGGAAAAAAAGGAAAAGGAUAAGAAAAGCAAAAAGAUGAGAGAAAAUAUUAAAAAAAGAAGAAAGAUGAUGAAACUGAUGAGCCGAAACCCAAACGGAGAAAAUCAGGUGAUGAUAAAGAUAAAAAAGAAGAUAGAGAUGAAAGGAAGAAAGAAGAUAAAAGAAAAUCAGGUGAUGAUAAAGAUAAAAAAGAAGAUAGAGAUGAAAGGAAGGUCUGUAAUAACAACCCGGUUUAGAAACUUUCAGUUAACUCUUCUAGGUUAUAAAGGUUGAUGUUGAU
rnacentral:lncRNA from 10 species